GAACCCGCAAAAUGGCCCCGUAACUUAGGGAGAAGGGGUGCCUGCGAGAGCAGGCCGCAGAGAAUAGGCUCAAGCAACUGUUUAGCAAAAACACAGGUCUAUGCGAAACCGAAAGGUGAGGUAUAUGGGCUGACGCCUGCCCGGUGCUGGAAGGUUAAGAGGAGAGGUUAGACGCAAGUCGAAGCUUUGAAUUUAAGCCCCAGUAAACGGCGGCCGUAACAAUAACGGUCCUAAGGUAGCGAAAUUCCUUGUCGGGUAAGUUCCGACCCGCACGAAAGGCGUAAUGAUUUGAGCGCUGUCUCGGCAAUACAUCCGGUGAAAUUGAAGUGCCAGUGAAGAUGCUGGCUACCCGCGCCAGGACGGAAAGACCCCGUGGAGCUUUACUCCAGUUUGGCACUGGGGUCCGGUGUUGCAUGUACAGGAUAGGUGGGAGGCUGAGAGAUAGUGACGUCAGUUGCUAUGGAGCCGCUGUUGGGAUACCACCCUUGUGAUAUUGGGCUUCUAACCAGCCGCCGUGAACCGGCGGUGGGACAAUGCCAGGCGGGGAGUUUGACUGGGGCGGUCGCCUCCGAAAGGGUAUCGGAGGCGCCCAAAGGUUCCCUCAGAAUGGACGGAAACCAUUCGAAGAGUGCAAAGGCAGAAGGGAGCUUGACUGCGACACCGACGGGUGGAGCAGGUACGAAAGUAGGGCUUAGUGAUCCGGUGGUAUUAAGUGGGAAUGCCAUCGCUCAACGGAUAAAAGCUACCCUGGGAUAACAGGCUUAUCACUCCCAAGAGUUCACAUCGACGGAGUGGUUUGGCACCUCGAUGUCGGCUCAUCGCAUCCUGGGGCUGUAGUAGGUCCCAAGGGUUGGGCUGUUCGCCCAUUAAAGCGGUACGCGAGCUGGGUUCAGAACGUCGUGAGACAGUUCGGUCCCUAUCCGGCGUGGGCGUAGGAUAUCUGAGAGGAGCUGUCCUUAGUACGAGAGGACCGGGAUGGACGGACCGCUGGUGGACCGGUUGGCUUGCCAAAGCCAUGGCCGGGUAGCCAAGUCCGGAAGGGAUAAACGCUGAAGGCAUCUAAGCGUGAAGCCCCCCUCAAGAUGAGAUAUCCCAUUCUUUAAGAAGUAAACCCCCUUGAAGACGACGAGGUAGAUAGGGCAGAGGUGGAAGUGUGGUAACACAUGGAGCUGACUGUUACUAAUCGGGUGAGGGCUUGACCA
rnacentral:rRNA from 1 species